rnacentral:antisense_RNA from 20 species
UUCUAUGGGCGGGCCUGGGUGGGGAGACCUUCGGGUCUGCCGGUGUUCAUUAGCCGCCGGUUCGCCAACCCCGCUCUGCGCCCGCUCACCCCG